AUUGAACGCUGGCGGCAGGCCUAACACAUGCAAGUCGAGCGGAUGAAGGGAGCUUGCUCCUGGAUUCAGCGGCGGACGGGUGAGUAAUGCCUAGGAAUCUGCCUGGUAGUGGGGGAUAACGUCCGGAAACGGGCGCUAAUACCGCAUACGUCCUGAGGGAGAAAGUGGGGGAUCUUCGGACCUCACGCUAUCAGAUGAGCCUAGGUCGGAUUAGCUAGUUGGUGGGGUAAAGGCCUACCAAGGCGACGAUCCGUAACUGGUCUGUGAGGAUGAUCAGUCACACUGGAACUGAGACACGGUCCAGACUCCUACGGGAGGCAGCAGUGGGGAAUAUUGGACAAUGGGCGAAAGCCUGAUCCAGCCAUGCCGCGUGUGUGAAGAAGGUCUUCGGAUUGUAAAGCACUUUAAGUUGGGAGGAAGGGCAGUGAGUUAAUACCUUGCUGUUUUGACGUUACCAACAGAAUAAGCACCGGCUAACUUCGUG
rnacentral:rRNA from 1 species